AUCCAUCUGAUGAGACCCAAAUGGGACGAAACGCGCGUCCUGGAU
rnacentral:hammerhead_ribozyme from 1 species